CCUACGGGAGGCAGCAGUGAGGAAUAUUGGUCAAUGGACGAGAGACUGAACCAGCCAAGUAGCGUGAAGGAUGACUGCCCUAUGGGUUGUAAACUUCUUUUAUAAAGGAAUAAAACGAGGCACGUGUGCCUUUUUGUAUGUACUUUAUGAAUAAGGAUCGGCUAACUCCGUGCCAGCAGCCGCGGUAAUACGGAGGAUCCGAGCGUUAUCCGGAUUUAUUGGGUUUAAAGGGAGCGUAGAUGGGUUGUUAAGUCAGUUGUGAAAGUUUGCGGCUCAACCGUAAAAUUGCGGUUGAUACUGGCAGGCUUGAGUGCAGUUGAGGGAUGCGGAAUUCGUGGUGUAGCGGUGAAAUGCUUAGAUAUCACGAAGAACCCCGAUUGCGAAGGCAGCUUACUAAACUGUGACUGACGUUGAUGCUCGAAGGUGUGGGUAUCAAACAGGAUUAGAUACCCGAGUAGUC
rnacentral:rRNA from 1 species